GCUCACCAAGGUAUUUCAGCCUUGCAGGGAACUUAAAUUACAGCUGACAUACAGGUGAGAAAAAGUUUUUCCAGGUUUUUCUCCUUAAAAGAGAAUUGAGAAGUUUCACGAGGCAAAGGAGCCUUUAGCCACUCUCUGCUUUAUUUAAGACAACCCAUUUUGGUGGUUCUGGUAGUUGAAAAUCCAGGCUCAGGAGUUUCUAAGUUCUUCAGACCUGUCCCCACCACAGGUGACUCCUCUGCAGGGACGUGUCCUGCUGUCCUUGAGUUUACUUGCUGAACUUAGUGCUGAAAGGAGGUGAUGGAAGGACAGGGCUGGCUCUUGCUGAAAAGGCUUUGGCAAGGCGGGAUCUUACAACAUCAAACCCUCCCAAAGGCAGAUUCCCACAAAGUGCUUGCACAGCACAGAAAAGUUUAAGUGCUGGCACCGAGACAGAACUGCUUAUUCCUCUUUGUGUCAGAGCUGACCAGAAUUGUUAUUUGAGGACUAGGUGAUAUUUUCUGGGAAGCACGAACUGAGAUAUUCUUUCUAUGUAACUUAAAGCAAAUCACUGAGGAGAAUGAGGUGUAAAAUCAGGGCUGUUCUAGACCAAGUGGACUGUCAAAUCCUUUAAUCCUGGGAUAGCAGAGUGUACUUUGUGUGUGAGGCUGAGAUUUUCCCUGGCCUGCACAGCAGCUCCGAGGUUCUGCUGCCAUGAGAGAGGGAAAACAGCCCAAGUCAGAGGGAUGCAGACAACUGCAGUGGAAAUUGACACAGCCAGGUAACAGAAACAGGUCAGCAUUCUGAAGGCAUCAAUACAGCCAGUCAAUAAGGAGGAGAGGAAGAGCUCCCUGGGCAAGUGGAAUAACUAAUUUUGUAGAAAUAGUCAACAUUUGGGUCACCACAGCAGAGGGAUCCAGGAAUGGCAUUGGGAGAUCAUCUCCCAAGGAAUGUGACCACCACUUCCACUGGCUACCAGAGGCAAUUGGGCUUUCAUCUGCUCUGUGAACCAAAAGAGAUUUUGCCAGCAAAAGGUGAAAUACUGUGAAAGCAGGACUGAGGAGGGAGGCUGAGGAUGUUGCCGUGGUCAGAAAUCACAGAAAUGAGUCGUGUGACACAGUGGAAGUUUGCAUCCUUCCCCUGUAGCAGCGGGCAUGGAGCAGACGCUCUUUUAAUUGGA